GAUGAACGCUGGCGGCGUGCUUAACACAUGCAAGUCGAACGGAAAGGCCCAAGCUUGCUUGGGUACUCGAUUGGCGAACGGGUGAGUAACACGUGUGGGAUCUGCCCUUCACUUCGGGAUAAGCCUGGGAAACUGGGUCUAAUACCGGAUAGGACCACUUCAUGGAUGUUGUUCUGGAAAGUUUUCUCGGUGUGGUGUGAGGUCGCGGCCUAUCAGCUUGUUGUUGGGAUAAUGGCCUACCAAAGCUUAGACGGGUAGCCGGCACGUGAGGGUGUAGAGACAGACUGGGCCCCAGAUGGGGGCCAGAGUAGGAAGGGGGGCAGAAGGGGGGAAUAUUGGACAAUGGGCGCCAGCCUGAUGCAGGGAGGCCGCGUGGGCGAUGAAGGCUUUCGGGUUGUAAACUCCUAUGGGUAGGGAAGAAGCGUUUUUGUGACGGUACCUGGAGAAGAAGCAACGGCUAACUACGUG
rnacentral:rRNA from 1 species